GAAGAUCAUGUGAAGGAGGAAGAUGCACAGGAAUCUAUCAAGGAGGGAGAUACAGAGGACACAGAGGAAGUUGAUGUCAAGGAGGAAGAUGCAGAGGACCCAAAGGAAGAUCCUGUCAAGGAGAAAGAUCUACAGGAUCCCAAGGAAGACGCUGCGAAGGAGAAAGGUGCAGAGGACCUUAAGGAAGAUAUUGUCAAGGAGAAAGUUGUGGAGGAAUCAGAAGAAAAUGGUAUAAAGGAGAAAGAUGCAGAGGAGUCAAAGGAAGAUCUUGUCAUGGGGGAAGCUGCAGAGGACUCAAAGGAAUAUCAUGUGAAGGAGAAAGAUGCAGAGGACUUAAAGGAAGAUAUUGGUGAGGAGGAAGAUGCAGAGAACUCAAAAGAAAAUGCUAUAAAGGAGAAAGAUGCUGAGUCAAAGGAAGAUCUUGUCAUGGGGGAAGCUGCAGAGGACUCAAAGGAAUAUCCUAUGGAGGAGGAAGAUGCAGAGGGUUCAAAGGAAGAUGUUGCGAAGGAAAAAGAUGGAGAGGAGUUGAAGGAAGAUCUUGUCAGGGAAGCAGAUGCAGAGGACUCGAAGGAAUAUUUUGUGAAGGAGAAAAAUGCAGAGGACUCAAAGGAAAGUGCUGUCAUGGAGGAAGAUGCAGAGGACUCAAAGGAAGAUCCUGCAAAGGAGGACGAUGAGUACUUGAAGGAAAAUCCUGUCAUGGGGGAAGAUGCAGAGGAUUCAAAGGAAGAUCCUGUUAAGGAGAAGGAUGCAGAGGGCUUAAAUGAUGCAGGACCAACACCCAUGUAUGAGCCAAAUAAAGAAAUUGAAGAAUCUUCAAAUA
rnacentral:lncRNA from 1 species